rnacentral:siRNA from 1 species
ACGGUGAUCGAACCGCAUUGUGC